rnacentral:rRNA from 1 species
GCAUAUCAAUAAGCGGAGGAAAAGAAACUAACAAGGAUUCCCCUAGUAACUGCGAGUGAAGCGGGAAAAGCUCAAAUUUAAAAUCUGGCGGUCUUCGAUCGUCCGAGUUGUAGUCUGGAGAAGCGUCUUCCGCGCUGGACCGUGUACAAGUCUCUUGGAACAGAGCGUCGUAGAGGGUGAGAAUCCCGUCUUUGACACGGACUACCAGUGCUUUGUGAUGCGCUCUCAAAGAGUCGAGUUGUUUGGGAAUGCAGCUCAAAAUGGGUGGUAAAUUCCAUCUAAAGCUAAAUAUUGGCGAGAGACCGAUAGCGAACAAGUACCGUGAGGGAAAGAUGAAAAGCACUUUGGAAAGAGAGUUAAACAGUACGUGAAAUUGCUGAAAGGGAAACGAUUGAAGUCAGUCGCGUCGUCUAGAACUCAACCUUGCCUCGGCUCGGUGCAUUUUCUAGUUGACGGGCCAGCAUCAGUUUUGACCGUUGGAAAAAAGGUCCUUGGAAUGUGGCACCUUCGGGUGUGUUAUAGCCUUGGGUCGUAUACGACGGUUGGGACUGAGGACCGCAGCACGCCUUUAUGGCCGGGGUUCGCCCACGUACGUGCUUAGGAUGCUGGCGUAAUGGCUUUAAACGACCCGUCUUGAAACACGGACCAAGGAGUCUAACAUGCCUGCGAGUGUUUGGGUGGUAAACCCGAGCGCGUAACGAAAGUGAAAGUUGGGAUCCCUGUCGUGGGGAGCACCGACGCCCACACCAGACCUUCUGUGACGGAUGUGCGGUUGAGCAUGUAUGUUGGGACCCGAAAGAUGGUGAACUAUGCCUGAAUAGGGUGAAGCCAGAGGAAACUCUGGUGGAGGCUCGUAGCGAUUCUGACGUGCAAAUCGAUCGUCAAUUUGGUAUAGGGGCGAAAGACUAUCGAACAUCUAGUAGCUGGUCUGCGA